CCUACGGGGGGCAGCAGUGGGGGAUAUUGCACAAUGGGGGAAACCCUGAUGCAGCGACGCCGCGUGGGUGAAGAAGCGCCUCGGCGCGUAAAGCCCUGUCAGCAGGGAAGAAAAUGACGGUACCUGAAGAAGAAGCCCCGGCUAACUACGUGCCAGCAGCCGCGGUAAUACGUAGGGGGCAAGCGUUAUCCGGAUUUACUGGGUGUAAAGGGGGCGCAGACGGCGAUGCAAGCCAGGAGUGAAAGCCCGGGGCCCAACCCCGGGACUGCGCGUGGAACUGCGUGGCUAGAGUGCAGGAGGGGCAGGCGGAAUGCGUGGUGUAGCGGUGAAAUGCGUAGAUAUCAGGAGGAACACCGGUGGCGAAGGCGGCCUGCUGGACUGCAACUGACGUUGAGGCCCGAAAGCGUGGGGAGCAAACAGGAUUAGAUACCCCAGUAGUC
rnacentral:rRNA from 1 species